rfam:Gossypium raimondii Chr11_contig_1204, whole genome shotgun sequence.
UGUUAAAAAAUUUAUUCAUUUGUAUUGUUAAAAAUUAACAUGGUUGAUAGAAUAACCAAACAAUGACGCUUGGCGUACCAGGUGUAUCUCAUACUGAUGUACAAUGAUUGGACAAUAGAAAUGGAUGAAAUUUUUAAUA